GUAAGAAAAUAGUUGUAUAUAUAUAUAUAUAUAUAUAUAUAUAUGUGCAUAAAAGACUCAUAAAAGGAUGCUCUGAACUCCUUAGGGUAACAUAAAAUAUCCCAGUAGCAUAAGAAGCUAGUCGGUCAAUAUAAUAGAUCUCUGGAAGCUAUAGAUGUGAAACAUAUGAAAUCAAGGAUACAAUGAAUCCUAUACCAUCUAAGAAAAGAAUCUUUGGAACUCGCUCGUUUACUUAUUUCGUUCGAAUCAUAAGGAUCAUGCCAAAAUGAAAGAAAGAGAUAGCCUUAACAUAUAUUAUCUACUCCUCAAGCUAAAUAUUCUUAUGUCCCGAGCUUGACAAAUGUACACACAAGACCAAGUAUGCUAACUAUUAGACUAGAACAUGCUUGUAUUCCAACCUUUAAACUAGUUCAUAACUUAACGGAAAAUCGGGCAGCAUUUCCUCUGUAAACUCAACAAGCCCUCAAAUUCCAAUUCAACCCAAACAUCAACUACAAUACUAGAAACAACAAUAUCAAUACUUUAAUAUCAAAAUAUAAUCAAAUCCAUUCCAAAAUGUCUCCCAAAACCAACCCCUAACCCCACCUUUAACCUCACUCAACCUACCGCUUCAUAACUAUAUUUUCUUCACUUUAAAACAUUGAAACUCUUGGUAAUCAAUCCAAUAACAAAGGUAAGAAUAAUAUACAUACCUUGAAGGGACUAGAACUCCAAAAAAAUCAAACUUCACAUCCAACCCCUAAGCUCAACAACUUCAAUAAAACCUCAGGAACAACUUUCCCUUCACUAGAUCGGGUUCACGGGGCUCGGAUCUUGCUAAAACUUCACUAAUAUGUUGGGAAAUGUUGGGAGGAAUAUCUUAGGGUUUUCAUCUGAUUUGGGGAGCAUAAAAUGAAGAGGGAAACGUGAGGUUGCUAUAUAUAUAAGUGGAACAAAAGUUCCAGCGCCUCCGGGUCGACGAGCAGGGUCAACAGCCGUCGACGUGCACCGUCCUUCUGCCACCUGAGAUUCAGGGGCCUCAGCAUGUUAACGGCGUGAAAGGACACCACGUCGACAUGUCGACGGGCCAUCCCUUUGCAUCGUCAAAGUGCAAUGGUCCCUGUUUCCCUGAGUUGCUCCGAUUCGUUUUGAUUCGAUUCGUUUAACUUCUAAUCCUAUCGUUGUAAGGAACAUAUUUGUGCUUCGGUAUUCGUGAGGUAAGGAACUUAAUAUCUCAUAAACCCGGGUGCGAAUCUUCGUACUAAGGGUAUACACAACUAGGAAGCCAUAGACUUUCUUACAACGAAAACGAGGGGCGUAACAUUCUCCCCCCCCCUUAGAAACAUUCGUCCUCGAAUGUUCAGAGUUGUAAAAAUUUCGGUAGAGUCUCCCCUAUAGCUAUACCUAUCCAACCUGUACACAACAACCUAAAACAAUGCCACACAGGGGAAGACGCUAAAAUAUACCACAUUAUGGCCUCACACGACCAAUCACAGGGCUACACAAAAUAAUAAUAACCAUGGCCUCACACGACUAGAAUGAAAUAGCUAUACGCAUAUCACAUACCUAAAGUCUGAACCUCCUCGGAAGAUGAGAAUAAAUGUGGAUAUCUGGUCUUCAUAUCAUUUUCUGCUUCCCAUGUCAUCUCUUCAACAUUAUUAUUCCUCCAAAGUACUUUAACAGAAGUCACAUCCUUAGUUCGCAAUCGACGAACUUUCUUAUCUAAUAUAGCCACAGGUAUUUCCUCGUAUGAUAAUUUCUUGGUCACCUGGACAUCAUCAAUUGGUACGAAUCUCAAGGGUUCUCCUAUGCACUUACGGAGCAUGGACACAUGGAAUACUGGGUGUACAGACUCCAGCUCAGAAGGUAGCCCUAACUCAUAUGCUACCUUACCUGCUGUACUAUUACAUCCCGUGUUUUCAUGCAUUGGAAAGCCUGCAAGUUAAAAGUCAUAAGUUGGGGAAAACAAGGUUACCCCAAGCUUAUACGUGGUCAGGAUGAUAUCCCGAAAUUAUUUAAGACUGGAAAGUGGAACGAGGUGAUUGGAAAUAACAUUUUGUGUGUACCAAAAGGGUCUAUGGACUAGUGCUAUGUCACAUAAUCAUGACAAUGAGUAUAUGAAGUGUAUUAAAAAUGAUUACUAUUCAAGUGAAUUGAGGUCAAGAAAUUAAUUAUGAGGGUCGCUCAUUAUAUUAGGAUGGUAGAUAUUUAUUAAAAAUGAGAUUAAGUCCCAUUUUGGGGGUGGCUUAAUAUCAGCCACGUGCAACUUUUUUAGUCACAAGUUAUGAGCUAAGAAUAGAAGGGGACAAACUCACUUAGUGGAUGAAUGAGGUGGAGGCACAUCUUGUCACUAUAUAGAAUAAAGAAUACAAUUCAUUUUGCUUUCCUUAGUUAAAAGGCAACAAAAACGUAGCAGCUAGGUAGAAUUGCUUCUAGCUUCAUUUUUAUUAUUAGCCAAGGAGGUAGCUUUGAGAAAAAAGAAAACUUGAUCUCUUGCUUGAUAUUUCAGCAGCACAAUCACGUUUGGGGCUUUGACAAUAAGGAAAAAUCAAGCACAAGCUCGGUCUAUUUUGAGAAGCAAGAACGCAACAAUAUAUUGUUGCUCCAUAUUUAUUGUGCAACGUGAGGGGAUUGAGGAAAUAAAUAUACGUUUAUGUGGUCCAAAUGGAAUGAAAAUAAAAGUGUUUUUUUUUUUACAUCUAUGUUGCGGAUUAAUCAUAUUGUGCAAGAAUUUCAAGAAUCAUCAAAGGAUUCUAAGCACUUCGGAGAAUUAUUCAAAGUGAAUAAGGUGGAAGAAGAGUAGUUCUUUGCAUAUAAGACCCAUAUUAUUUUGCAGGAAAGAUUAUACAGGAGACAGACUGUAGGGUAUUCCCAGGCUAUCAGCUGGAUUGGUAAACUCCAUUUCAUUCGGAGUAUGGCCGAGUCAGAGUAUUUCUUUAUGAUUUGAGUUAGAUGCAUUAUGGGUAUGUUGGGGCCCUGUCCCAAAUUAUGUUUUGAUAUCAUGUUCUACAUUAGAGACUUUUGCAGACAGAGUUAUGUACACAGUAUGUCAGUCUUGUAA